AUGGAUCCAGCAGGGAGGCAGCCUGCCAUGGGCCCCUGCUCAGGGGACCCCCACCUGGGCGGGGCCUCCUGGCUCCUGGGACUCACCAGCCUCCUCCUCAGCGUCUGCAGCACUGGCACCCAGGGUUCUGCAGCCCAUGGUUCUGGAGUUGAGGAUUCUGGAAACCCCGUUUCCCUGAAGGGGAUGCAAGGAGCUUCUGUGUUGUUUCAAGUGCUCAGAAACCCAGACUUGCCUGCAGGAGUCGAGCUGGAGAAGAUGACCUGGGGGAUCUCCUCCGGGGCAAACUACACAACCCUGCUGCAGGUCUCCCCUGGGGCACGCGAUCCAGAAUGGGUCAACUUCCAGGACAAGUUCCAGAAGAGGGUCCGUGUGCUCAACAUUACGACCCUGAGGAUGAACAACCUGACCCUGGAGGACACUGGGCUGUACCGGGCUCGGGGCUUCUACUCCAGAGGAAGACAAUACGACCAGGAUUUCCACCUGACUGUGUAUGAGCCCCUGCCCCUUCCCCAGAUCUGGGCCAAGGAUCGGUUCAUCACCCCAGGCUGGUGCAAUGUCACCGUGAAGUGUGACACCAUGGGAACCAGGGAGGACCUGACCCUGUCCUGGGAGAGGAAGAGACUCCCCAGGGAACUGGAACAACGAGUGGCCCCAGGACCAGCUCCCAACCCCUGGACCCUGGCUCUGAGCCUGCCCCUCAGCCAGCCCAGCGCCAGCCUCACCUGUGUGCUCAGCAACCAAGAGGACCAGAAAACUGUCACCUUGGACCUUGGGGACAUCUGUGGUCAUGAUCCACAGGGACAGGCUGAUGCCUCCCAACUACCCAGCAUCCUGGGGACUGUUGUGGUCCUGCUGCUGAUCCUGGGAGCUGGACUGUUCCUCUGGAGGACACGAGUGAAGAAGAGCCUGGAGCCUGGGAGAGGUGCAGGGUCGCAGGAGGAGCAUAGGGAUCCCGAUAGUGGCAUCUACUAUGCAGAGCUGAGCCAGCAGGGGUCUGGAGACAGCAGGGACAAGGGUAGAGGUGCAGCACAUCUGGAAGGGAACAAGCCUCUCACUACUGUCUACAGUGAGGUCCGCAGGGCAGGCGUGGCCCUGAUGAGGAUUUAA
rnacentral:lncRNA from 1 species